rnacentral:rRNA from 1 species
GACGAACGCUGGCGGCGUGCUUAACACAUGCAAGUCGAACGGUGAAGCGCCUUCCUUUUUGGUGGGUGUGGAUGAGUGGCGAACGGGUGAGUAACACGUGAGUAACCUGCCCCCUUCUUCUGGAUAACCGCAUGAAAGUGUGGCUAAUACGGGAUAUUCUGGGUCUGUCGCAUGAUGGGUCUGGGAAAGAUAUUGUUUCGGUGGGGGAUGGGCUCGCGGCCUAUCAGCUUGUUGGUGGGGUGAUGGCCUACCAAGGCGGUGACGGGUAGCCGGCCUGAGAGGGUGGACGGGCUCGCUGGGGCUGAGACACGGCCACGUCUCGUACGGGAGGCAGCAGUGGCGAAUAUUGCACAAUGGGCGCAAGCCUGAUGCAGCGACGCCGCGUGCGGGAUGGAGGCCUUCGGGUUGCGAACCUCUUUCGCCAGUGAAGCAGGCCUGCCUCGUUUGUGGGUGGGUUGACGGUAGCUGGAUAAGAAGCGCCGGCUAACUACGUG